rnacentral:rRNA from 1 species
UACAGAGGGGGCAAGCGUUGUUCGGAAUUACUGGACGUAAAGGGCGCGUAGGCGGCCUGCUAAGUCGAACGUGAAAUCCCUGGGCUCAACCCAGGAACUGCGUCCGAUACUGGUUGGCUUGAAUCCGGGAGAGGGAUGUGGAGUUCCAGGUGUAGCGGUGAAAUGCGUAGAUAUCUGGAGGAACACCGGUGGCGAAGGCGACAUCCUGGACCGGUAUUGACGCUGAGGCGCGAAAGCCAGGGGAGCAAACGGG